rnacentral:lncRNA from 1 species
GUGGGUCAGGGGUAUGGAGAAAUAUUAACCAAUAGUAGAAUAUUUCUGUCCCAAGGCAAGACUUUAUAAGUUGUUUUUAUUUUUUGUCACCUCUACUUCCUCCUACAUUAAGUUUCUCAGCGUUUCUCCAAGUUACUUUGCUUCUAAGAUCCUGUAAGACUCAAGAUCUCCCACAAAGAUAUUCUUCUUAGAAGCUCAGAAAC